rnacentral:lncRNA from 1 species
GGAAUAUUGAUCAAUCACUUGAGUGGGUGUUCUUCCAAGUGUUCGGCGAAGACUUGGCAGUAUGUCGCGUCAUGUUUUUGUGGUUUCAUGUUUAUCUUUGUAAAGAGCACAUGUCGUUUGUGUGUUGUCCGACGAACCGGAACUGUCGAAGGAAAGAUUUGGCAAAUUGUUCGAAGGUGUGGAUGGAUCUGGAGGGAAUAUUGGUCAACCACUUUAACGGGUGUUCUUCCAAGUAUUCGACGAAGACUUGGCAGUAUGUCACGAUGUUGAUGAGAGCAUCGUGGAUCGAGGCUAUGACCAUGUCAUCAAUUGUUUUGGGAGGUUGGGUAUCGGAUUGAUACCCGUCAAUCUGUUGUUUACUGUCGAUUUAUAUGCUUUGGUCUGUCUCGGUAUCUUUUUUUUCUCGUUCGUAUGUAGUCCGAUGAACCGGAACUGUCGAAGGAAAGAUUUGGAAAAUUGUUCGAAGGUGCGGAUGGAUUUGGAGGGAAUAUUGGUCAACCACUUGAGCGGGUGUUCUUCCAAGUGUUCGGCGAAGACUUGGCAGUAUGUCGCGUCAUGUUUUUUGGUUGCAUGUUAAUCUUUGUAAAGAGCGCAUUAACAAUGAGAGAUGCGACUGCGGGUUAGUGUCUCCAUAGUAUUUCGGGAUUGGAGCAUCAAUCUUUCGAGGGCGGUGUUGGGUAAUCUUAUUCGAGAAAGGGGUAUUCUUGGUUUUCUCCGGAUUAGGUUCCAUGUCGGGUUGUCGUCUGUGAGUUUCUACCACCUCUGCCCUUCCACGAGAGGUUUGGUUAGUCAGCGGUGGCGAGGCGGUUUGAUGGGUUAGUGUGUUUCCCGUUCUUGCCUCGAACCUGCCCAGUGACUCCGUAUGGGUUUCAUUCUUCAUACACUUCUAUGGGUUCGGAUGGUAGGAAGGCACUUCAUAAGGGUGGUGACGUCGUCCUUUGUAGCGAGGUCGCUCGAGU